rnacentral:lncRNA from 1 species
AGAAAUUGCUUCAUCUGUUAGUUUUCUUUCUUCUCUUUGAAUUAUAGCUUAGGGAUUUCUAACUUGCUUGUUUGUGGUCUUAAUUUCUAGCCAGAAAGGGCAACCCAGUGCACGAGGCUCCCAGCAUUGCAGGUUUGGUGAGGGUCAGAUAUACGCAGCCUUACCCCCACAUGUGGAGAGUUUAUUUCCUUAUUUCGAACCCGUGACCUCCAAAUCACAAUGAAGCAACCUCGAUGCCGCACCAAUGCUCACCUUCUCUCAAUUUCUAGCUAGAGUUUUUAUAUUGCCCCAGGUUUCACUUAUAAAAUUUUGUGUUUUUUCUGAUUUUUUCCUCAAAAUGCUUAGAUUUUUAUUCUCAGCUAUGUCCAAGUACAAGCCUCCCUGCCUCCUCACCCACAAAAUCAACUUCUUAGCCAUCAAAGGGAAAAAAUUAAAUUAAAAAGUGAGUUUUGUCACUUCAAUUGUUUCUUUAUCAACUUUUGUGAGCUGUCCUGCUGAGCCAUCUUUUCAAGACACUAGCUUUUCCUCCCAUCAUAUUCAAUGCACCUACAUUAUUCAACCCUUCAUGUCUAAAUUCCAUGAAAAAGUACUGGUAUUUUUUUUAAUGUUUUCUUUGCUUAAUCCCAUGAAUAGUAGAUUGUCUUGUGUGGUUAACAUUAUCAUGAUUUUUUACAACAUGGUGACAGUCUUUUUUGUGUUUUCUUCACAGAUAAAUGGCUUGGAUGAGGACUCUACUUUGCGACAUCAAAUUUUUUAAUUGAUUUGGUUAUUUUGCUUUGGCGAUUGGUUGGGAAUCCGGUUUUAGUCUCUAUUGUCGGG